UACGUAGGGUGCGAGCGUUGUCCGGAAUUACUGGGCGUAAAGAGCUCGUAGGCGGUCUGUCGCGUCUGCUGUGAAAACUCAGGGCUUAACCCUGAGCUUGCAGUGGGUACGGGCAGACUAGAGUGCGGUAGGGGAGACUGGAAUUCCUGGUGUAGCGGUGAAAUGCGCAGAUAUCAGGAGGAACACCGGUGGCGAAGGCGGGUCUCUGGGCCGUAACUGACGCUGGAGGAGCGAAAGCAUGGGGAGCGAACAGG
rnacentral:rRNA from 1 species